ensembl:snRNA U6 U6 spliceosomal RNA
GUACCUGCUUCAGCUGCACGUAUACUAAAAAUGGAAUGAUACAGAGAAGGUUAGUAUGGCCCUUGGGAUGACAUGCAAAUUCAUGAAAUACUCCGUAUUUUU